UUUCCGUAGGUGAACCUGCGGAAGGAUCAUUAGUGAAUUGAAUAUGUUAUCGGACCUCUUCGGAGUCCCUAGCAUCAAAUCAUAUCCAUAACACCUGUGAACUGUAAGGCUGUCUUGAAGGCGAGAGUGAUUAGAGCGCCUGCCCAUUUUAUACAAACAUUAAAGCAACAUACGUAGUCUUAUUAUAAUCUAAUAAAACUUUCAACAACGGAUCUCUUGGCUCUC
rnacentral:misc_RNA from 1 species